GACAGAGGGUGCAAACGUUGUUCGGAAUUACUGGGCGUAAAGCGCGUGUAGGCGGUCCGGUAAGUCCGCUGUGAAAGUCGGGGGCUCAACCCUCGAAAGCCGGUGGAAACUGUCGGGCUAGAGUGCGGAAGAGGCGAGUGGAAUUCCUGGUGUAGCGGUGAAAUGCGCAGAUAUCAGGAGGAACACCGGUGGCGAAGGCGGGUCUCUGGGCCGACACUGACGCUGAGGAGCGAAAGCGUGGGGAGCGAACAGG
rnacentral:rRNA from 1 species